rnacentral:rRNA from 1 species
ACAAACAGUGAAUGGAAGUGUAUCGAGGAUCGGUUUGAGAAGAAAUUGAGUUGCUGGAAGGGCAAACUCAUGUCAUAUGGAGGUCGGUUGAUUCUUAUGAAUUCGGUGCUCACGAGUCUUCCUAUGUUCCUUUUGUCCUUUUUUGAAGUACCAGUUGGAGUUAGGAAAAUGCUGGACUUCUAUCGGCCCCGUUUCUUCUGGCAGAGUGAUGAACUUAAGAGAAAGUAUCGUUUAGCCAAAUGGGACGUCAUCUGCCGACCAAAGGACCAAGGGGGUCUUGGUAUUGAAAAUCUUGAGGUCAAGAACAGAUGUCUUCUCAGCAAGUGGCUAUAUAAGUUAGCAACUGAGACUGAAGCUACUUGGGCACAGAUUCUGCGUAAC